rnacentral:pre_miRNA from 1 species
CUUCUACUCCCUCCGUUCGGAAAUACUUGUCCUAGAAAUGGUUGUAUCUAGACUUGUUUUAGUUAUAGAUACAUUCAUUUCUAAGACAAGUAUUUCCAAGCGGAGGGAGUGCGAU